GGAUUCCUGGAUGUUGAUCAGUAAGUGGACAAACCACUCCUUUCAUGGGCUCUUCCUUGCCCCUCCUGGUCAGCUUGCUUAGUGGCAGUUGUAUCUAAUCAACAAGGAGUUUUUGGUGGAAGAAAACUUUCAGUAAUGAGAUCUUCCUGAUUGAUCCCGAUGAUGGAGGAAAGGAAAAUGCUACUCUGUGUGAGCUUGUAAGAGCAGUGAAAUCCUGAUUCUUCCAUGUUAAGGACAGGCAAGUAUUUUCUUUUUAAUUGAAAUCUGAAAAGGUAACUGUCUGAGUCCUCUUGCAUUUCUUCUUCUCAGUAUCAUUUUCUUGCGGUGAAGGACAUUUGUUUCUAAAAGGACAGUUGAGUUUUUGCUGAAAUUAAUCCAACUGGAUUCUGUCUAAUUAGAAGGAAUGUACAUGUUUUCAUUUCUGUCUACAUCUGUGGUAGUACUUCAAAAACACUGCCAUUUACAUCGGUGAAACCCCAUUGUUAAUAACUGUAUUAAGCCCAUAAUACCAGUGGCAAAAGUGAAGGUCCUCCACAUGUCAUGAGCUUCUGCUGUGGAUUUCUUCUGCAUGCCAUGAUAUCACAGAGCAAUUUGAGUGAGAGGAAGUGUGGGUGUCACUGUGGCCAGCUCCCAAACUAGAUGCAAAUUAGAGUUCAGGGCCUUUGGGCCAUGUGUAGAUGAAGAGGCCGUGCACAGUGCAGAUCCAUCCAGGUGGCUUCAUGGUGCUCACUAUUUAGAAGCAAGAGUACUUUGCUGUCAUUUACUUAGCCCAAGUAAGCACUGCUAAGAAAAUGAGUGACAAGUUAGAGAGGCAACAUUUCCAAGAUUGCAAUGAAAUCCCCGAGAAUAAUAAAGAUGAACAAAAGUGUAAUCACUUAGAUGUGUUAAUUGACUUUAAAUGCAUUGAAAAUAGGAAAUGUUUUUAAGGCAGGCUACACGUGCAUUUAAUUACUUGGCAGUGAAUCAGAAGGGUUAUGUUUGCUGCAUGUGCUCCCCAUUUUUCAGAACUACAGCAUUACUGUUCCUUCAGUUCUAUAGACAGUCUCUCUCUCUGCACCUACUAAUUUUUCUUAGGUAUUACUACCAGCACUCUAAGUGUCAAUGACCUUUCCUCUUCUGUGUUAAUAAUGUCUUCAGCAGUUUAUUCCUGUGGACAUGAACUUGAGCCUUCUUUAUUUAGGGUGUUUAUUUCUUCAUCUUUGAGUGGUUCUGAGCCAUGAAAUGGGAUUUUAUCUUGGCCAAGCCCUGACAAAAAAAAAUAAAUGGAGCAAACAAAUGGUAGCAUAAGCCAAGUGGCUUCACAUAUACUGGUGUGUGCUGUCAGUGGAAGGACUGGUAAGAUAGAGAGCAAGAUUCUCCCAGGUGGUGGGCCGCAUGAGAGAAAGGUGCUGGAUUUUGCUGGAAGAUUUUAGAAAUGCUAGAAUUUGUUGUUGUCAUACUAUGUUCUAGGCAAUGGUUAGUCCAUUAGUCUGGACUAAUGGUUAGUCCAGCAAAUGAUGUGAGAGGUAAGGAGGAGAGACAGUGGACAAAGUAUGUGUUAGAAGUGAUAUCAAGUACUACGCUAUGAUGAACUAGGGCAUUCUGAGCAGAUAUAUGGUAUGAUAAGAGCAAGAAAGUAGGAAAAUUAUUUGCUUCUUCCCAAAGUGAAUCACUAAAUGCAAUGUUUUGCUUUAUCCUAAAAUGUUAUUUAUUCUUUCAUUCCACUUGCUUUCUAUUGUUCCAAGAACAAAAGGUUGUGCAUUAAAAUUUAACAUAUUUUUAUGUAAAGAUCAGAAAAUUGAGAAAAUAAUCUCAGUUAUUUAUCCAAUGCACAGUUCUUAGGAAGAUUUCUUCCCCAGAGCAGAGAAAAAUUAUUCCUCCCCUUUCAUACCUCAGUCUCCUAGGGGUUUACUUUACCUGAAAGAAGCAGCAGCAUUUCCAUUCCUUCCUUUUGAUCCAUGAAAAGCCUGGAUCUGCAAAACUGGCAGUUACUUCCUGACAACAGGAGCUUUGACAAAAGUCCAGACCAUCUAGGAUUAAUUCACACAGUUUUAAGGAGGCGAUUAUUAACUAACACAGCAUGCUGCAUAAAGGCUAGGAGCAGAGCCUGCAGUUGGCUUUAGAACUGUGGUUUAGGUGGUGGUUAGUGUACACUUAGAAAUUUUG